AUAUUUACCUGGCAGGAGAGAUAUCAUGAUUAUGAAGAUGGUUUUCCCAAGGUGAGGCUUAUCCAUUGCACUGUGUAUGUGCUGUCCCCUAUGAUUUUCUCAAAUGCGGGAAACUCGACUGCAUAAUUUGUGGUAGUGGGGGACUGUAUUUAUGCUCUCACA
rnacentral:snRNA from 1 species